rnacentral:lncRNA from 1 species
UGAUGGCAAAGGACGGAGCCGAAGCACAGUCAGGACUUUUCGUGAGAGGACUAUGCAGGGCUCACACACCGCUGCUGUGUGCGUUCUUGCCCCUGUUUCCCAGACACCGAUCCCAUCAGGGUGAAGGGAAAGGAAGUGUCCACCCAGAACUCCUCCUAACUUUACUCCUUUUGGCAGCUUCUCUUGUUUUAUCUUCUCUCUGUGGAAUAACCUUUAGAACAGGCUAACGUCAAUCCCGGAACUCCCUGCCUAAAAGGAGUUUGGAUAAGUCAGUUGAAAUGCAUUUGAGUCUCAAGAAACAGAAGGCUCAGACAGUUGCCACCACUGUGAAGACUUGCCAUCUCACAUGAAAAGUAACUUGGGACAAUGACCCGCAGGAGGCGAUGGGACAGAAACCUCACCUUGUAAUAGACAUCAAACAUCAGGUCGCUGCCUGCAGCAAGAGCUUUGUCAGCUACACACAACUGUGAGCUCCAACCACCACACGGCACGGACCUGAGCCCUCUGUUCUCUGAAGCUCUGAGUCUUUGACCAUUGAUGUCUUAUUGCCCCAGACGGCUUCAUCUGCUCUCACUGUUUCAAGCCCUUCCCACACAGUCUGUGGCUGCCUCCUGUGUGCACAGGAGGUUAGACACACAGCCAGACAUGCACCCCAUGGGGGAAACUCCAGCUCUGAUGCUCUGAGCUAGGUGAUCUCAGG